UACAGAGGGUGCAAGCGUUGUUCGGAAUUAUUGGGCGUAAAGGGCGCGUAGGCGGUGCCACAAGUCACCUGUGAAAUCUCCGGGCUUAACUCGGAGCCUGCAGGCGAAACUGUGGUGCUGGAGUGUGGGAGAGGUGCGUGGAAUUCCUGGUGUAGCGGUGAAAUGCGCAGAUAUCAGGAGGAACACCGAUGGCGAAGGCAGGUCUCUGGGCAUUAACUGACGUUGAGGGACGAAGCCUUGGGUAGCAAUAAGG
rnacentral:rRNA from 1 species